CAAGGACUAUUUUCCACACCCCUGUGAUUUCCUCCCUGAUCACUCAGCAGUACCCAUUCCCUAGCUCCCUGCCCACCAAAUUGUCCAUUAAAAACCCUAAUCUCUGAGCCUUCAAGGAAACUGACUUGAGGAGUAACACCAUCUUCUGUGUGCCUGGCCUUGUGUCAAAUUUUUCUCUACUGCAAUGCUGAGGUCUCAGUAAAUCGAUUUUUGUCUGUGCAGUGGGCUGGAAGGAGUCAACAGGGACAAGGUGUCACCAUGUUGCCCAGGCUGGUCUUGAACUCCUGGGAUCAAGGAAUCCUCCUGCCUCAGCCUCCCAAAGUGCUAGAAUUAGAGACGUGAGGCACCACACCACCUACCUUUAUAUUUAAGCAACAGUUUGACUGCAUACAAAAUUCCUGGGUCACAUCUCUUUGCUGGAGGAUUUUAUUGACUUUGCCUUCAGGUGAAUCAACUGACACCAGCUUGAACAGUGACCGUGACUGCAACAAAGGAACUGACUCAACCGGUCCUCUGACCACUCCCCUGCAGGAAAUGACUCAGCACAUGAAGACAGUUUCAACACUCCUAUGAUUUCAUCCCCCAACCAAUCCACAACAUCUGUUUCCUAAUGCCCUACCUGCCAAAUCAUCCUUAAAAACCUUAGCCUCUGAAUUCUUGGUGAGGUGGAUCUGGGAAAUGUAUCCCGUCCUCCUCACUCUAUUGCCUUGCAAUAAUCAAACUCUUUCUCUGCUGCAACUCCUGCUGGCUCAGUGUUUUGGUUUUAUCUGUGCAGUGGGCAAGAACCAGUCAGGUGGUAACAGUUCUGAUUGUUACUUUUGGGUGAUUUCCCCUACAAAGAGGAAAAAUACUAAUUUUGAACCACCAUAUUCAAUUCUUAAGGCUUCCUAUAUUCUUAGUGAUAAUGUCAUUUUUGAAGAUAACAUAUUUCAAAGUACAGUAGCUUUGAAGUAUAUUUGUAUUUUGAAGAUACAUGUACUUGAAAAAUUGAGUUUGGCAAUGUGUUUCCACUAACAUUAAUUUAACAGGUAAGGCCGGGCGCAGUGGUUCACGCCUGUAAUCCCAGCACUUUGGGAGGCCAA
rnacentral:lncRNA from 1 species